UACAGAGGUCCCGAGCGUUGUUCGAAUUCACUGGGCGUAAAGGGUGCGUAGGUGGCAUAGAAAGUUUGAUGUGAAAGCUCAGGGCUUAACCCUGAAAUGGCAUUGAAUACUGCUGUGCUGGAGGUUUGGAGGGGGGACUGGAAUUCUUGGUGUAGCAGUGAAAUGCGUAGAUAUCAAGAGGAACACCAGUGGCGAAGGCGAGUCCCUGGACAACACCUGACACUGAGGCACGAAAGCUAGGGGAGCAAACAGG
rnacentral:rRNA from 1 species